AAACAACUGAAUACAAAAGGAGGCAUGAUUAUUUCAAAACAGACUUCAAGGGACAGAUUUUCAACCUAGCCCUAAACAGGUUUUUUGCAGGUUCAAACAACAGGAAGCAUAACUUUGCACCCACAAAAAGAUAAAAUCCCAGAAUAUCUGAAGACAAUUCGGUCAGAGGGAAAGGGGAAGAGGUGGGAGUUUACAGCUAUGAAGCAAAGAAAGAGGAAAUGAAGGAAUGUCAACCCAAAAAAAUGCAAUGUAGCCAGAGACUUGCAAAUAAAGCUAUACUGUAAGUAUUCAAAGAUGGAAUUAUACUAUACAGAAUAUCUGUUCUGCAGAUAUUAUGGCUUUAUGUCUAGGACAUUGUUUACUAUGAAG